rnacentral:lncRNA from 1 species
GUGUUUCCUGUAGAGCAGAUAGCAGUAAUGAUAAGGUGUUUCCUGUAGAGCAGACGGCAGUAAUGAUGAGGUGUUUCCUGUAGAGCAGACGGCAGUAAUGAUGAGGUGUUUCCUGUAGAGCAGACGGCAGUAAUGAUGAGGUGUUUCCUGUAGAGCAGAUAGCUGUGGUUUAGCUGCUUUCACCUACUUGAUGAUUAACCCCAAUCCUCUUCUGUCUGUUCUGUGCAUCCACAGGGCAGUGGGAUGUAUCUAUCCCCAGUCUCUACUGAUGUAUCUAUCCCCAGUCUCUACUGAUGUAUCUAUCCCCAGUCUCUACUGAUGUAUCUAUCCCCAGUCUCUACUGAUGUAUCUAACCCCAGUCUCUACUGAUGUAUCUAUCCCCAGUCUCUACUGAUGUAUCUAUCCCCAGUCUCUACUGAUGUAUCUAUCCCCAGUCUCUACUGAUGUAUCUAACCCCAGUCUCUACUGAUGUAUCUAACCCCAGUCUCUAC